rnacentral:rRNA from 1 species
UAAGUGAGAAUCUUAAAGGCCGAAUAUCUAAGGUUUCCAGGGUAAAGCUGAUCUUCCCUGGGUAAGUCGGGGCCUAAGGCGAGGGCGAGAGCCGUAGUCGAUGGAUAACAGGUUGAAAUUCCUGUACUGCUUAUGGACAGAACUGUGGGGACGCAGAAGGAGAGCACGAGCCGGAAAUGGAAAAGCCGGUACAAGCGUAUAGCAGUCAUGCAGGCAAAACCGCAUGAAAAAUGUAAAGCGUUAUGUGGAUCGAACAUUAGUAGAGAAGCGUGUGAGCCAGCUGCCAAGAAAAGCCGCUAUUGUUUCAUAAGUACCCGUACCGUAAACCGACACAGGUGGAUGAGGAGAGAAUCCUAAGGCCGGCGGGAGAAGUGUUGUUAAGGAACUCGGCAAAAUGACUCCGUAACUUCGGGAGAAGGAGUGCCACAGAGAUGUGGCCGCAGAGAAAUGGCCCAAGCAACUGUUUAGCAAAACACAGGUCUGUGCAAAACCGAAAGGUGAGGUAUAUGGGCUGACGCCUGCCCGGUGCUGGAAGGUUAAGAGGAGAGGUUAGAGCAAUCGAAGCUUUGAAUUUAAGCCCCAGUAAACGGCGGCCGUAACUAUAACGGUCCUAAGGUAGCGAAAUUCCUUGUCGGGUAAGUUCCGACCCGCACGAAAGGCGUAAUGAUUUGGGCACUGUCUCAACAACACACCCGGUGAAAUUGAAAUACCAGUGAAGAUGCUGGUUACCUGCGCCAGGACGGAAAGACCCCAUGGAGCUUUACUCCAGUUUGAUACUGGGAUUCGGUACUGUCUGUACAGGAUAGGUGGGAGGCUAGGAAAUGGUGACGCCAGUUGCCAUGGAGCCAACCUUGGGAUACCACCCUUACAGUACUGGGUUUCUAACCUGCAGCCGUAACCCGGCUGGGGGACAAUGUCUGACGGGGAGUUUGACUGGGGCGGUCGCCUCCGAAAGAGUAUCGGAGGCGCUCAAAGGUUCCCUCAGAACGGUUGGAAACCGUUCGAAGAGUGCAAAGGCAGAAGGGAGCUUGACUGCGACACCGACGGGUGGAGCAGAUACGAAAGUAGGACUUAGUGAUCCGGUCGUAUAAAGUGGGAUUGCCAUCGCUCAACGGAUAAAAGCUACCCUGGGAUAACAGGCUUAUCACUCCCAAGAGUUCACAUCGACGGAGUGGUUUGGCACCUGAUGUCGGCUCAUCGCAUCCUGGAGCUGUAGCAGGUUCCAAGGGUUGGGCUGUUCGCCCAUUAAAGCGGUACGCGAGCUGGGUUCAGAACGUCGUGAGACAGUUCGGUCCCUAUCCGGCGUGGGCGUAGGAUAUUUGAGAGGAGCUGUCCUUAGUACGAGAGGACCGGGAUGGACAAACCUCUGGUGUAUCUGUUGUUUUACCAAAGGCAUGGCAGAGUAGCCAAGUUUGGCAGGGAUAAACGCUGAAGGCAUCUAAGCGUGAAGCCCCCCUCAAGAUAAGAUAUCCCAUCUUCGGAGUAAGACCCCUUGAAGACUACAAGGUUGAUAGGCUUCAGGUGUAAGUGUGGUAACGCACUCAGCUGAGAAGUACUAAUAGGUCGAGGACUUAUCAA